UACGGAGGGUGCAAGCGUUAUCCGGAUUCACUGGGUUUAAAGGGUGCGUAGGCGGGUUGGUAAGUCCGUGGUGAAAUCCCCAAGCUUAACUUGGGAACUGCCGUGGAUACUAUCAAUCUUGAAUAUCGUGGAGGUAAGCGGAAUAUGUCAUGUAGCGGUGAAAUGCUUAGAUAUGACAUAGAACACCGAUUGCGUAGGCAGCUUACUAGGCUGUAACUGACGCUGAGGCACGAAAGCGUGGGGAGCGAACAGG
rnacentral:rRNA from 1 species